GAUGAACGCUGGCGGUGUGCCCAAUACAUGCAAGUAGGACGCAGUUGCGAACGGGUGAGUAAUGCGUAGGUAACUACUUAUUAGAGGGGGAUAACUAUUGGGAACGAUAGAUAAUACCGCAUAGUAGUAGUUGGACCUGAGUUGUAUUAGCUAGUAGGUAGGGUAAUGGCCUACCUAGGCAACGAUACAUAGCAGACCUGGUCGGGUUAUCGGCCCCAAUGGUACUGGGACACGGCCCAGACUCCUACGGGAGGCAGACGUAGGGAAUCUUCGGCAAUGGGGGGAACCAUGACCGAGCAACGCCGCGUGACUGAAGAAGGUUUUCGGAUCGUAAAGCUCUGUUGUUAAGGAAGCGGUAAUUAAAGAGAAAGGAACUGCUAACUACGUGCCAGCAGCCGCGGUAAUAC
rnacentral:rRNA from 1 species